rnacentral:tRNA from 1 species
AAUAAGAAGCAAAAUAUUGCAUUUAGUUUCGACCUAAAAAUUUGAUUACUUAAUCCUUAUUU